UACGUAGGGGGCAAGCGUUGUUCGGAAUUACUGGGCGUAAAGGGCGCGUAGGCGGCAUGGCAAGUCGGGAGUGAAAGGCCUGGGCUCAACCGAGGAACUGCUUUCGAGACUGCCAAGCUAGAGUGCGGAAGGGGCAUCUGGAAUUCCCAGUGUAGCGGUGAAAUGCGUGGAUAUUGGGAAGAACACCUGAGGCGAAGGCGGGAUGCUGGGCCGACACUGACGCUGAGGCGCGAAAGCCAGGGGAGCAAACGGG
rnacentral:rRNA from 1 species